AACGAACGCUGGCGGCAGGCUUAACACAUGCAAGUCGAACGCAUCCUUCGGGGUGAGUGGCAGACGGGUGAGUAACACGUGGGAACGUACCUUUCGGUUCGGGAUAACCCAGGGAAACUUGGGCUAAUACCGGAUACGUCCUUAGGGAGAAAGAUUCAUUGCCGAAAGAUCGGCCCGCGUCUGAUUAGCUAGUUGGCGAGGUAACGGCUCACCAAGGCGACGAUCAGUAGCUGGUCUGAGAGGANGAUCAGCCACACUGGGACUGAGACACGGCCCAGACUCCUACGGGAGGCAGCAGUGGGGAAUCUUGCGCAAUGGGCGGAAAGCCUGACGCAGCGACGCCGCGUGCGGGAAGAAGGCCUGCGGGUUGUAAAG
rnacentral:rRNA from 1 species